rnacentral:sRNA from 1 species
AGAAAAUUCAUUAGAUUUCAAGGAAUUAAGCAAGUAAAGGUGGUGAAACUUCCGAUAAGGGUAAGGAGAUUGUACCCGAAGAUCGGGACUAGGAGUACUUUGACUCCCGAUAU